GUUUGUGUCCUUCUGUCCAGAUGACAUUGAGCGGAGAACAUCAUGAUGGUGCUGGUUCCACCCCAGGGCAGGAAGUAGAACAGUAGUUGGCAUGCCGUGUAGAUGUACUAUCGUUAUCUGCCUCUACUUCUAAAGCUAUACAGAUCCACUUUGGGAACUGGAAACCCUUAAAGCUCACCUUCACCUGGAAAUGAGAGAAUGGGUAUAUGGUCUCGGUGACUUGACAGAGGAUGCUACCUAUGGGCUCACCAGUCUCAUCAAUCGGAGGUCACUCAGAAGUCAACACAGACAGACUGUAAAUGCAAACAGCAGUAUAGGCGCU